CCAAUAGCGUAUAUUAAUGUUGUUGCAGUUAAAAAGCUCGGAGUUGAAUUUCGGGAUCAGUACGCUGGUCGUGCCUUCGGUAUGUACUGGUGUUACUGGUUCCUACCUUCUUACGAACCGUCAUGUCAUUAAUUUGGUGUGGCGGGGAAUCAGGACUGGUACUUUGAAAACAUUAGAGUGUUUAAAGCAGGCUCGCGCUUGAAUACAAUAGCAUGGAAUAAUGAAAUAUGAGGUUCGAUCCUAUUUUGUUGGUUUCUAGGAUUGACGUAAUGAUUAAUAGGGAUAGUUGGGGGCAUUAGUAUUCAAUUGUCAGAGGUGAAAUUCUUGGAUUUAUUGAAGACUAACUACUGCGAAAGCAUUUGCCAAGGAUGUUUUCAUUAAUCAAGAACGAAAGUUAGGGGAUCGAAGACGAUCAGAUACCGUCGUAGUCUUAACCAUAAACUAUGCCGACUAGGGAUCGGAUGAUGUUAAUUUUUUAAUGACUCAUUCGGCGCCUUACG
rnacentral:rRNA from 1 species